GAACUAACUAUUUUCACUUUGUUUUUAUGUCUUUUUGGUAGCAUAGUGAGAGAGAAAAUAACUGUGUGUUGUUUUUUCAGCUGAGGAUGGAAGUGAGGAGAAUAAGAGCAGUGAUGGUCAAUCUAGCCAAGAUAAAAGAGAAAAUAAGGUAGAGCAAAGAUGGAGCCAGUGAGGAGGAAGAAAAACAAGGAGAGAACGGCAAGAAAGAGGAAGAGAGAGUGAGGGAAGGGGAGGCAGAGAGAGAGACGGAGAAAACAGACUCAGAAAUGGCAGCCGAUGGCGAGAAGGAGAAAGAACGGAAGGAGGGAUCAGAAGAGGGUCAGAGGGAUGGAGAGAGUGAGGGAGAGAAGAAAGCAAAGGUGGAGAGAGAUGUAGGAGAGGGAAACUUGGCCACCGCCGCUGCUUCUGCACUCGCUGCUGCUGCCGUGAAAGCUAAGGUGUGUGAAAAGGUGACAUCAUGGUGAGAAAACAAACAACUUUCCUGCAAAUUAAACACUGAAUGCUGUAUUCUUUCCUUUCGACGACCGAGUGGCGAGGAAGGAAGAAAGGAACGGAGGGGGAUCAGAAGAGGGUCAGAGGGAUGG
rnacentral:lncRNA from 1 species